rnacentral:rRNA from 1 species
GAUGAAAGAGGGAGGAGGGAAGAAUACAUGCAAGUCGAGCGAACAGACGAGGAGCUUGCUCCUCUGACGUUAGCGGCGGACGGGUGAGUAACACGUGGAUAACCUACCUAUAAGACUGGGAUAACUUCGGGAAACCGGAGCUAAUACCGGAUAAUAUAUUGAACCGCAUGGUUCAAUAGUGAAAGACGGUUUUGCUGUCACUUAUAGAUGGAUCCGCGCCGCAUUAGCUAGUUGGUAAGGUAACGGCUUACCAAGGCAACGAUGCGUAGCCGACCUGAGAGGGUGAUCGGCCACACUGGAACUGAGACACGGUCCAGACUCCUACGGGAGGCAGCAGUAGGGAAUCUUCCGCAAUGGGCGAAAGCCUGACGGAGCAACGCCGCGUGAGUGAUGAAGGUCUUCGGAUCGUAAAACUCUGUUAUUAGGGAAGAACAAAUGUGUAAGUAACUAUGCACGUCUUGACGGUACCUAAUCAGAAAGCCACGGCUAACUACGUG